rnacentral:snoRNA from 7 species
GGAGUCCUGCUUACCACACACUGUAUUCUUAUGCUGACGGUAUAUGGAGAGGAGGCAGAGCAAACCGACUCCCUGUACAGCUUAUCCCAGGUCAUUGUGCCUGAUCUGUAUUGUGAAUGGGGAGACAUG